AGAGUUUGAUCCUGGCUCAGAAUCAACGCUGGCGGCGUGCCUCAGACAUGCAAGUCGAACGCGAAAGUCCCCUUCGGGGGGCAAGUAGAGUGGCGCACGGGUGAGUAACACGUAGGUAAUCUACCUUUGGAUUGGGAAUAACCACCGGAAACGGUGGCUAAUACCGAAUAAUGCAGCGGCACCUAAUGGUGACAGUUGUUAAAGCGGGGGAUCGCAAGACCUCGCGUCUGAAGAGGAGCCUGCGGCAGAUUAGCUAGUUGGUAAGGUAACGGCUUACCAAGGCGAUGAUCUGUAGCCGGCCUGAGAGGGCGGUCGGCCACACUGACACUGACAUACGGGUCAGACUCCUACGGGAGGCAGCAGUCGGGAAUUUUGGGCAAUGGGCGAAAGCCUGACCCAGCAACGCCGCGUGAAGGAUGAAAUCCUUCGGGACGUAAACUCCUUUCGAUCGGGACGAUUAUGACGGUACCGGAAGAAGAAGCCCCGGCUAACUUCGUGCCAGCAGCCGCGGUAAUAC
rnacentral:rRNA from 1 species